UACAGAGGGUGCGAGCGUUAAUCGGAAUUACUGGGCGUAAAGCGAGUGUAGGUGGCUCAUUAAGUCACAUGUGAAAUCCCCGGGCUUAACCUGGGAACUGCAUGUGAUACUGGUGGUGCUAGAAUAUGUGAGAGGGAAGUAGAAUUCCAGGUGUAGCGGUGAAAUGCGUAGAGAUCUGGAGGAAUACCGAUGGCGAAGGCAGCUUCCUGGCAUAAUAUUGACACUGAGAUUCGAAAGCGUGGGUAGCAAACAGGAUUAGAAACCCGUGGUCUCG
rnacentral:rRNA from 1 species